ACCCAAACCAUUCCAUGACUCUACAAUGACCCAUGUGAGCCCUUCCCAAACUUACGAGCAAAAUGAGGUGCUCUGUCAAAGCACCUCAUUCCCGUGGUCCCACAUGAAUAUCACAACAAGGAACCAGAAAUAGAAUGAGACACAACCUUGCAAAGCCUUUUGCCACGGCUGGGGCUCAGUCCCAGUAUGGCAGGACUGGGCACCAGUUUCCUGUCAGCAAAAUGCAUCCUGUGCUGUUUCUCUCUCUGCAGUCAAAGUCUAAUUCAUUGGCUUUUCCUUGGUAUGGAAAGGGGCUCUGCUUUCACCCCACAGUGUGGAGUAGUUUGGUCUUUUCCCGUGUUUGAGAGGAUUUGAUCUGUGUGCACAAGGGUUUAAUGGAAAGAACUCCUACCCAGGGAGGGAGGUGUGAAAUGGGGACAAGGUGGCAAAUGGGGAAGCCUGAGAAGGAAGAACACCGAGUGGAUUCCGAAAUGAAGGAGAUCAUACACUAAUUAAACCAGCCAGAUUUGAUAAUGACUGCUAAUGGCACAUUAAACUGUCUAGCCUGAGAUAUAUGUUUGUUUUGCUGCUUCCCAGUUCGGGUUUGCUGUUUGUUUGUUUAUUUUGCUGGUUUUACAGUUUUGCGGCUGCUGACCUCCUGAACAUGACAAUCCUGUCCCGGCCCUGACAGGGGUGAUGUUAAUGACCCACAACGAGUUCCCAGCAAUGUGCUCUGCCCGGCCCCUUCUGCUGAAUAUCUCUGAAAAAGUGCAGUCCUGUGGCUCUUCUGUGCUCACACAGCCCCCACCCCAAUGCAAUCCCUCCCAUUUUGUAGCUGUUUGGGGGGGGAUUGAACUGCCAAGAUAGAAGGGGAGGUGGUUUGCAGUGAGACAGCCUGGCUGCCACGGCAGCAUUCCCACAAAACCAGGGCCAGAGACAAGGAUAAACCCGAGGAAAUGUGAGACUGCACCCCCACUGUGCCACCCCCGAUCAGCAUCCCCUCUGUGCCCUCAGAACUUCCAGAGGGAGCCAAAUAAAGCCCCAGGUGAGAGCUUGUUGAAGCCACAACUUGUUUUGAGCAGCAACUGUGUCUUUUUCUUUUGGAGGAAUUCAACAUUAAAUACAUCAGGGUGUUGAAAAGAAAACUCAAGAAAGAAUACACAGUGAGGGGUAGAACAAACCUGCCUGCUGUUCUUAGGGAGUUUGUUGGUCAUCUCAUAGUCCAACCCUAAGGCAGCAGACAGUGUAGGCAUCUCCUAGUGCUCCACAGCUCAGAUUUGGAGAGUGCCACCACACUAAAAUGGAAACAACAGACUUUUUUACAAGAUGUUGGCAGUUUCUUCCAGCCAUCCAUCCUGGCACUGCCUUUCAGAAGCAGGAUGAGCUCUGAUUGCAGUCAUUUCUCUUAGCCCUAAAUGAGGCUGGAACGCUCCACCCCACAGGUACCUCCCCCCUGGGACAUGGGAACACCCACUGAGUCACAUCAUCUGCCUUGGGACCUUCUGUGCCACCAUUCAAACUGCUCAGGAUUCAACACAGCUCUCUUUGGAAGCUCAGAAACACACCAGCCAAUUUCCAAAGGAUCCCAAAUGUCCUCAGGGAGGCAGAGGCACAGUUUCCCUUGGAUUCCUGGUGUGGUUGUUCCUACUGUGCCCCAGGCAUUAAGAAAGAGCAAACUGUAACACCUUGCCGAGGUGUUGCCUUUGCAGUUUGAUGUCACCUGCUGUGCCACCUGAUGUGACCCAGCUCUGAGGGGACUCCAGUGAGGCAAGGGAGGCUCUGAGCAGCUGAAGAUCCAGCCCUCAAGGGCAGCAGGAACAGUUUAUCAUUCCCAAAGGGACACCACC